rnacentral:rRNA from 1 species
UAGGGAAUCUUCGGCAAUGGGGGGAACCCUGACCGAGCAACGCCGCGUGAGUGAAGAAGGUUUUCGGAUUGUAAAGCUCUGUUGUUAAGGAAGAACGAGUGUGAGAAUGGAAAGUUCAUACUGUGACGGUACUUAACCAGAAAGGGACGGCUAACUACGUGCCAGCAGCCGCGGUAAUACGUAGGUCCCGAGCGUUGUCCGGAUUUAUUGGGCGUAAAGCGAGCGCAGGCGGUUAGAUAAGUCUGAAGUUAAAGGCAGUGGCUCAACCAUUGUAGGCUUUGGAAACUGUUUAACUUGAGUGCAGAAGGGGAGAGUGGAAUUCCAUGUGUAGCGGUGAAAUGCGUAGAUAUAUGGAGGAACACCGGUGGCGAAAGCGGCUCUCUGGUCUGUAACUGACGCUGAGGCGCGAAAGCGUGGGGAGCGAACAGG